GAUGAAGAACGUAGCGAAAUGCGAUAAGUAGUGUGAAUUGCAGAAUUCAGUGAAUCAUCGAAUCUUUGAACGCACAUUGCGCCCUUUGGUAUUCCUUAGGGCAUGCCUGUUCGAGCGUCAUUUAAACCUUCAAGCUCAGCUUGGUGUUGGGUGACUGUCCGCUUCACCGCGGACUCGCCUCAAAAUUAUUGGCGGCCGGUACAUUGGCUUCGAGCGCAGCAGAAACGCGAACUCGGGCCCGUCGUAUUGGCUCCCAGAAGCUAUCUUCACAAUUUUGACCUCCGAUCAGGUAGGGAUACCCGCUGAACUUAAGCAUAUCAUAAGCGGAGGA
rnacentral:misc_RNA from 1 species